CUCGGCUUCUCUGCUAGAGUUCACUUUGCUAUAAUCUGCUUGGAUAACACUCUCAGCUCGCCACGUCAGCUCACUUCAAUCCAAGGGUCAUUAAACUGACAACACAGAAAGCUCAUAGCCUUCACUAACUAUCUGAAAUAGUACAAGAUCUCAAUCCCUCAACUCAUCUCAUCUCCCUCUCUCUCUUCCCCUCACUCAUCUUAUUCGUUGUCUCGCCCUAACCUCUCGGCGCCUCCGAUGACGUAUCCGGCUGCUCCGGUGAUCCGUCCCCCGCCGCAGAUGUAUCCCGGCCAGGGACCACCGCCGAUGGUGCGUGGCCCGCCGCCGCAGUUUCCUCCUCCCGGUGCCAGGCCCGGCGGCCCACCUCAGCAGUUUCCCAAUCCUCCGAUGCAGUAUGGGCAGAGAACAAUGGGGCCUCCACCGCCCGGGCCUCCGGGGCAGAUGAUGAGGGGUCCACCACCUCGCCAAGGAAUGCCGCCUCCUCCCGGUGUGUUUGGAGGACCUCCACGGGGAAUGCCGUCGCCGCCUCAGAACCCCAACCAGCAGCAACAACAGUAAAUUCGGUGCCCAAACCUUGAGGUUCUUUCGAUCAAGUGCUGCCCGAAUGUGACUGAUGCAUCCAUCGCUGACAUAGAGUUUCGGUGCACCAUGAUUAAGGAACUUGACAUCAGCUAUUGCUAGAUCAUUCUGAACACGCUGGGAUUGUUCCUGAGGAGUAUUUAAAAACUUGCCCUCACGAUGGAAAUUCAGAAGUUGAUGCAAUUGGCAAAUCAGAGCACAACAUGUUGGUUAGGAUAUGGAAGUGGAGCUGAUGAUGUUAACUAAUAGUAGCUUUUUUAUUGUUGAAGGCUGUUGGUUUUGGUGAAGGUGUAAACUUAUACUUUUGGCCAUGACUCCAAUUUGGAGUGAAUUGUUAAGUUUCUAUGUAUGAAAAGAUUG